UUGCUUCAGUAGCAAAUAUGCUAGAAUUGGAAUGAUAUAGAAAACAUCAGCAUGGUCCCUGCACAAGAUGAUUCACAGAUUUGUAAAGCACUUCAUAUUUUA